AACUCUCAACAACGGAUAUCUUGGCUCCCGCAUCGAUGAAGAACGCAGCGAACUGCGAGACGUAGUGUGAAUUGCAGAAUUCCGUGAACCAUCGAAUCUUUGAACGCAACUUGUGCCAGGUGUAGUUGGAGGUGACUCUGAUUUCAUAUUUUCUGGCAUGUCUGCCUCAGCGUCG
rnacentral:rRNA from 1 species